GCAAACUUGGUCAUUUAGAGGAAGUAAAAGUCGUAACAAGGUUUCCGUAGGUGAACCUGCGGAAGGAUCAUUAAAAAAUAUAUAUUUUUAAUAUACACCCCUUGUGUGCAUUUACAAACAUAUUAAAAAGUUGCAAUUUUGCAACUUUUUUAAUUUUUUAUAUAACACACAUUAUCAAAUUUUUUAUAAAUAAAUUAUAUUAUAAUCAAAUACAACUUUCAACAACGGAUCUCUUGGCUCUCGCAUCGAUGAAGAACGCAGC
rnacentral:misc_RNA from 1 species